GCCUCCGUGGCCUAAUGGAUAAGGCAUCGGUCUCCUAAACCGGGGAUUGCGGGUUCGAGUCCCGCCGGGGGUA
rnacentral:tRNA from 1 species